rnacentral:rRNA from 1 species
ACGGGAGGCAGCAGUGGGGAAUAUUGCACAAUGGGGGAAACCCUGAUGCAGCGACGCCGCGUGAGUGAAGAAGUAUUUCGGUAUGUAAAGCUCUAUCAGCAGGGAAGAUAAUGACGGUACCUGACUAGGAAGCCCCGGCUAACUACGUGCCAGCAGCCGCGGUAAUACGUAUGGUGCAAGCGUUAUCCGGAUUUACUGGGUGUAAAGGGAGCGCAGGCGGUACGGCAAGUCUGAUGUGAAAGCCCGGGGCUCAACCCCGGUACUGCAUUGGAAACUGUCGAACUAGAGUGUCGGAGGGGUAAGUGGAAUUCCUAGUGUAGCGGUGAAAUGCGUAGAUAUUAGGAGGAACACCAGUGGCGAAGGCGACUUACUGGACGAUAACUGACGCUGAGGCUCGAAAGCGUGGGGAGCAAACAGGAUUAGAUACCCUGGUA